CCUACGGGUGGCAGCAGUGAGGAAUAUUGGUCAAUGGGCGCUAGCCUGAACCAGCCAAGUAGCGUGAAGGAUGACUGCCCUAUGGGUUGUAAACUUCUUUUAUAUGGGAAUAAAGUGCAGUAUGUAUACUGCUUUGCAUGUACCUUAUGAAUAAGGAUCGGCUAACUCCGUGCCAGCAGCCGCGGUAAUACGGAGGAUCCGAGCGUUAUCCGGAUUUAUUGGGUUUAAAGGGAGCGUAGGCGGGUUGUUAAGUCAGUUGUGAAAGUUUGCGGCUCAACCAUUCAGACUAUUAGCUAAACUGUUAAGCUCGAGACCGUUAGGGGUAACUGGAAUUUCUAGUGUAGGAGUGAAAUCCGUAGAUAUUAGAAGGAACACCAAUAGCGUAGGCAGGUUACUGGGACGGUUCUGACACUAAGGCACGAAAGCGUAGGGAGCAAACGGGAUUAGAUACCCCGGUAGUC
rnacentral:rRNA from 1 species